GAAGAACCUUCAGCUGUCAUUCUGCCGCUCGAUGCUGAUGAGCCGGACAGUGCCUGCCGUGAUGUUCAGUGUGUGUCUGUAGUCUCCUCCCUCUCCCAGUGGACAUAAGCAGAGACAUCAUUGGAAUGAUGAGGGGUCCAGAGAGUCGGCUCUGCUGGUUUGAAAGCGCAGAGACACACUGCUUGACUCGCGAGGGAUUCCCGUAUUAUACCAGUGAUAAGGAGAGUUUCACUGGCAUUCAGUUUGUUGAGCCGAACAUCCAGCUGCUGCCCACCGAACAACCUCAAGACCCUUCACCUGUUUUUCUG